GAGGUCUUAGCUUAAUUAAAGUGUCUGAGUUGCAUUCAGGAGAUGUGGGCUUAUUUCACAGGCCUU
rnacentral:tRNA from 1 species